rnacentral:rRNA from 1 species
GAUGAACGCUGGCGGCGUGCCUAAUACAUGCAAGUCGAGCGAACAGACGAGGAGCUUGCUCCUCUGACGUUAGCGGCGGACGGGUGAGAACACGUGGAUAACCUACCUAUAAGACUGGGAUAACUUCGGGAAACCGGGGCUAAUACCGGAUAAUAUAUUGAACCGCAUGGUUCAAUAGUGAAAGACGGUUUUGCUGUCACUUAUAGAUGGAUCCGCGCCGCAUUAGCUAGUUGGUAAGGUAACGGCUUACCAAGGCAACGAUGCGUAGCCGACCUGAGAGGGUGAUCGGCCACACUGGAACUGAGACACGGUCCAGACUCCUACGGGAGGCAGCAGUAGGGAAUCUUCCGCAAUGGGCGAAAGCCUGACGGAGCAACGCCGCGUGAGUGAUGAAGGUCUUCGGAUCGUAAAACUCUGUUAUUAGGGAAGAACAAAUGUGUAAGUAACUAUGCACGUCUUGACGGUACCUAAUCAGAAAGCCACGGCUAACUACGUG